rnacentral:lncRNA from 1 species
AUGGUAAUUACAAGCCACUAUUACUCAGGCAAGUCUUCAGUUAAGAGUAUUAUCAUCAUCAAGGGAUGCUGGUUGAUAUCUUCUCCAAACCAUCCACAGCAACUUCUUGGAAACCGAUUUCAGAAAUCUUCAAUGAAGUCUGAAGCCAGAAUUAUGUUUACUAGAAGCCAUGGAUGUGAAAGCAUGUAAAAUUAUAAAACUCUGGGAAAAGAGACUGAGAAUAGAGGUAUGGAUUGGAGGAGGGCGACACUUCCUAACACAUAUAUUAUGCAUAUGUGGUAGAAAAGAUACCAUAAUGGUUAAAAUAUAGAUAUCAUGUUAUUUCUAUGUUCUUGUGCUUUUCAAUAUAAUAAACAUGAAUCUCUUUUGCAAUAAAAAGAUAAAAUUGUUGAAGGAAGAUACCUGGCACUUUGGAUUUAUAAUUCUUACACUGUAAUAACUGCAUUAUCUUAUUUUAUCCUCCGUUAAAAAAACCCAGAAUAAUAGUCAUCAUCAUCAUAGUCCUUUAUAUACAUUGUGCUACUAUUAAAGCUAUGUCCACGCAUUUUUUAAAAUUCCUGGCUUCAAGAGGUAACACUUAAUUCCUCUAGCCUGGAGUAAGUGUUAGACCUUGUGACUUCUAACAAAUACAAUAUGUCAGAAAUAUGUGUCCCUUCUGAGUUUUGAUUAUUUCUGUCUGUUUCUCUCUCAUCAUUCACCACAGGAGAAACAAUCUGCCAUGUUAUUAGCUCCCCUGUGAGGAGACCCACGUGAUGAGGAACUGAGGCCUGACAAUAGCCAGAAGAGUAAGCUUGGAAGUGGAUCCUUAAGCUCCAAACCUUGAGAUGAUCCCAUUUCUGGCCAACAUCUUGACAACAUCUUGACCGCAAGACCCUGAGCCAGAACAACCCAGUUUAGCUGUACCCUGAUCCUUGACCCUGAGGAAUUGUGAGAUAAAUGUUUUCUCUCUCAAGCUUCUAAAUUUUGGGGUAAUUUAUUAUGCAACA